rnacentral:rRNA from 1 species
CAGUAGCCGCGGGAAUACGUAGGGUGCGAGCGUUGUCCGGAAUUACUGGGCGUAAAGAGCUCGUAGGUGGUUUGUCGCGUUGUUCGUGAAAACCGGAGGCUUAACCUCUGGCGUGCGGGCGAUACGGGCAGACUUGAGUACUGCAGGGGAGACUGGAAUUCCUGGUGUAGCGGUGGAAUGCGCAGAUAUCAGGAGGAACACCGGUGGCGAAGGCGGGUCUCUGGGCAGUAGCUGACGCUGAGGCACGAAAGCGUGGGGAGCAAACAGGAUUAGAUACCCGUGUAGUCCCUGUCUCUUAUAU